rnacentral:rRNA from 1 species
UACGUAGGGGGCAAGCGUUGUCCGGAAUUAUUGGGCGUAAAGAGCGUGUAGGCGGUCCGGUAAGUCGGCUGUGAAAGUCCAGGGCUCAACCCUGGGAUGCCGGUCGAUACUGCCGGACUAGAGUUCGGAAGAGGCGAGUGGAAUUCCCGGUGUAGCGGUGAAAUGCGUAGAGAUCGGGAAGAACAUCGGUGGCGAAAGCGCUCUACUGGACGGUGACUGACACUCAGGGACGAAAGCUAGGGGAGCGAAUGGG